AUACAGAGGGUGCGAGCGUUAAUCGGAAUUACUGGGCGUAAAGCGCGCGUAGGCGGCUUGGUCAGUCGGAUGUGAAAGCCCCGGGCUUAACCUGGGAAUUGCAUUCGAAACUGUCUAACUAGAGUCUGCUAGAGGGAAGUGGAAUUCCAGGUGUAGCGGUGAAAUGCGUAGAUAUUAGGAGGAACACCAGUGGCGAAGGCGACUACCUGGACGGGUACUGACGCUGAGGCGCGAAAGCAUGGGGAGCAAACAGAAGUAGAAACCCGGGUAGUCC
rnacentral:rRNA from 1 species